GCCAAAAGGAUGCUGGAAUAAAACAAACCAGAGCUUCUUCCCCAAAUCCCAGUGAGGUUCCUGCCUCUGGGCAGGAAGGAGUGGCCUUUGCUCCUAGAGAAAGGAACUAAAGAGGAUUCUGGAGGACUCUGGGCUCCCACAGCCUCUGGGACUCUCAGGCCUCCUCUAGGGGGAAACAUGGCCAGAGCCUGGGGAAGACAAAUUGAGUGCUGCACACGCUGACCGGCUGUGGCCCCUCACCUCACAGCCUAGGAGCUACUUGCUGUAAGGCCACUGUGCAGAUGAGAGACAUCGGUCUCCACAGUGUUCAACCAUUCAGCCAAGAUCACGGCCAGUGAGCUGUGGAGAAGGAACCCACAUCUGCCUGGAUCACGAUUCUUUCCACCACUGGGUAGAAGAUCAUGCUGCCUGUGCGGUGUUAUUCUCACAACGGAGGCCAGUCUUGGGAAGGGCGACCAGGUUACCGGUUCCUCCAGGUGCAGAAACAUGGGCCAGUGGCUGAGUCCCGGCUCCACGAGGAGAUGUUGGGAGAAGUCAGCACACAUUGAGGAGAAGCAAGGAGCACCACUCCUGAUGGUCCCCUCCAAAGCCCCAGGAAACUCUUGUUGGCAAUCUUAGAUUAAAUUCAGUGAGUUUCUGGAUCACGACAGGAAGCUGCGUCCAGCACGAAGGUGUCCUGUGAACAGGCUCAAUCACAAGCUCUGCAGAGACGGGAGGUGACAGAGGCCCCAGAAAGCCAGUUCCCGACAACGCCAAUACUGCACGUUUAUCAGCUGCGGCAAGAGCCGGCUGGAGGCAGUGGCAGCACCUCAAUGCCCUUGCCUCGUCUUCAAGAUUCUUCUGUUUGAUGUUGCGUCCUCACUGUUCCUCUGCUGAGGAGCUGUAGUGUGGCUCACAACUACGCGAUGACUCUCCAGAUUCAAAGACCACAUCUCACCCUCUCUAAAGCCCCCAGGUGCCCAGCGCAGUGCCGUGUGCAGAAGGGUUGAUGAGCAUUUGCUGAGCCGGGUGAUAAUCCCAUGGACAUUGUUUCCUCUGCCGUCAGUCUCCACACCAUUAACAACAUUUGCAGAUAUAUGAUGGCCCACAUAGAAAACCUAACUAACCAACAUCAUAAAUCAUAGGGACUAAAAGAAAACUUGCAGAUACAAAACACUUCUUACAGCAUAAAAAUGCUCUCUCCCAGGCGUCUGCUCAGCAGCUGGCUAUCGGCAGGACAUUGCGCACCAGGUAUCUUCAAGCUGCUUCUGGCUGGAUUUAGGGCAUGAUGGAAACAUCAAGACAACUGUAGUUCUGCCACGGGGCCCCACAUCUGCUCAUCCUGGGACACCCAGGAAGUGGCAGCAGGUUUCAGCACCCUGGAGAGGGCCAGGCCCCAGUGGCUGGUCAAGUUCCUCAGUGUUAAGGGAGCAGCUCAGGAAGGCCCCGCCCAGGAUGAUGAGGGGACCAGGAAUGAAGUCAGCAGGUGAGCGGGAGGAACUUGACUCAGAGCAGUGGGAGGGCAGGAAGCGUGCUGGGGAGGAGCCCUUGAGGGGCCACCACCUGGGGAAGCCCCUGCUGUCCCAGGGACAAGGGAAGGCUCCUCCUUGAUUCCCCAGAAGGACAGCGUGGCUGCGGUCAAAUCCAUCCACGGGGCAGAUUUUCCCCACGGCCCUGUCCCCUGACCCUAGUGGCCCUCCCACAGACAUGCCCUGCAGGGCCCAGGACACUGGCCCUCGAUGGGCCCUGAGCCAGUGCCACCUGUGUGUGCACUGAUGAAGGUCAGGCACUUUAUUGGAGGAAGGAGGAGCAGAAAGAGGAGAAGGAAACGUUAACUCCUAAAUCACAAGGCAGAAAGGAUUCCUGAAUCAAAUCAGCCAAAUCUGCCUCCUAGGUGGUUCCAGACCCGCCCCCUCCCCUCCCUGUUUCUUAGGGCGCGACAGUAACAUUAACCCGGUUCCACUGCACAUCCUCCUGGCCCUGGCCCUGCGCCCUUGGCCCCUGCACAUCUCAUGGCUGGCACCUCCGUGCGUGCUCUCAUUUCACGUUUCACCUUCAAAUUGUCCUCUGUGAACACGUGUAUGCAUGCAUGUUUAUUGGUCUAUUUGUUUACGUUUGUUUGAUGAUCCAGUUGCAGUCUCUUUUCAUUAGAAAGCUAGGCUUGUUCCAAGCAUAAUAUGUGCUUGUUUUGACUUCUUUUGAAAAUGAAAGCACCUGAAAUCUCCCACAGC